rnacentral:rRNA from 1 species
AUUGAACGCUGGCGGCAUGCCUUACACAUGCAAGUCGAACGGUAACAGGUCUUCGGAUGCUGACGAGUGGCGAACGGGUGAGUAAUACAUCGGAACGUGCCUAGUAGUGGGGGAUAACUACUCGAAAGAGUGGCUAAUACCGCAUGAGAUCUACGGAUGAAAGCAGGGGAUCGCAAGACCUUGUGCUACUAGAGCGGCCGAUGGCAGAUUAGGUAGUUGGUGGGAUAAAAGCUUACCAAGCCGACGAUCUGUAGCUGGUCUGAGAGGACGAUCGGCCACGCUGGGACUGAGACACGGCCCAGACUCCUACGGGAUGCAGCAGUGGGGAAUUUUGGACAAUGGGCGAAAGCCUGAUCCAGCAAUGCCGCGUGCAGGAUGAAGGCCUUCGGGUUGUAAACUGCUUUUGUACGGAACGAAAAGCCCCGGGUUAAUACCCUGGGGUCAUGACGGUACCGUAAGAAUAAGCACCGGCUAACUACGUGCCAGCCGCCGCCGUAA